rnacentral:rRNA from 1 species
AUUGAACGCUGGCGGCGUGCCUAAUACAUGCAAGUCGAGCGAACAGACGAGGAUCUUGCUCCUCUUCCGUUAGCGGCGGACGAGUGAUUAAUACGUGUAUAACCUACCUAUGAGACUGAGAUACCUUCGGGAACGCGGAUCUAAUACCCGUUAAUAUGUUGAACGUCAUGGUUCAUUGGUGCACGACGUGUUUGCUGUCACUUAUACAUGUUUCCUCGUCGCAUUAGCUAGUUGGUAAGGUAACGGCUUACCAAGGCUACGAUGCGUAGCUGACCUGAGAGGGUGACCGGCCACACUGGAACUGAGACACGGUCCAGACUCCUACGGGAGGCAGCAGUGGGGAAUAUUCGACAAUGGGCGAAAGCCUGACGGAGCCACGCCGCGUGAGUGAAGAAGGUCUUCGGAUCGUAAAGCUCUUUAAGUAGGGAAGAAGAACAGUGAGAGAAAAUAUGGCCGUCUUGACGGUACCAACAGAGAAAGCAACGGCUAACUACGUG